rnacentral:lncRNA from 1 species
CGAAAUAUGUAAAUAAUUCUAUGUAGCAUGGUGUGCAAACCUGACAGUGUAAGCUGCUUUAAACAAAAAGUGUCUGGUAAAUAAUGAAAUAAUUUAUGUGAUGUAUUGCUUGUCAUAUUGGCUACACGAGUUGCAGUUUUCUUGUCUCUUUCAUUUCACAAAAAAUAUACAGAGAAUCCCAUCUCCAAAAUGAUGGGAUCUGAAGAAAGUUCCUGAAGGCCUCAUCACAGCCACCCCUGGUUCUCUGGAGUAUUUUGCCAGGCCUUAUUAAGAUCAGAAACCCAGACUCUGUGUUAUACGAUGAGCUGCACUGUUUCCGCCGCUUUGCUCCCCACUGUUCUGGACUUGCCCCGCAGCGCCGAAGGAAGAGGAGCAGACGCCCCCCCCCCCGUUGCCUCAACACCGGCCCUCUGCCGCUCGUCUUCUUGCCCUUAAUUCUCAGUCAGAUGAAGUCACUUCCUUGGUGUUUGUUCCUCCUCAAGGCCACCAUUGUGCUCCUCCUGCUUGUUGAUGCUGCGCUCCUGGAGACACAUCGACACGUGGUCUUGUGCAGAAUACACGGGUCACACCCACACGCUGACAUAAACAGUCAGUGGAUUUAA